rnacentral:rRNA from 1 species
UUCGAUGCAACGCGAAAACCUUACCUCGCCUUGACAUCCUCGGAACUUGUCAGAGAUGACUUGGUGCCUUCGGGAACCGAGAGACAGGUGCUGCAUGGCUGUCGUCAGCUCGUGUCGUGAGAUGUUGGGUUAAGUCCCGUAACGAGCGCAACCCUUGUCCAUAGUUGCCAGCACGUAAAGGUGGGAACUCUAUGGAGACUGCCGGUGACAAACCGGAGGAAGGUGGGAUGACGUCAAGUCAUCAUGGCCCUUAUGGGCAGGGCUACACACGUACUACAAUGGUCGGUACAAAGGGCAGCCACUCAGCGAUGAGGCGCUAAUCCCAUAAAGCCGGUCUCAGUCCGGAUCGCAGUCUGCAACUCGACUGCGUGAAGUUGGAAUCGCUAGUAAUCGUAGAUCAGCAUGCUACGGUGAAUACGUUCCCGGGCCUU